UACAGAGGGGGCAAGCGUUAUUCGGAAUUAUUGGGCGUAAAGGGCGCGUAGGCGGCCAUUCAAGUGACGGGUGAAAGCCCUCGGCUUAACCGAGGAACUGCCUGUCAGACUGGAUGGCUUGAGACCGGGAGAGGUGAGUGGAAUUCCCAGUGUAGCGGUGAAAUGCGUAGAUAUUGGGAGGAACACCAGUGGCGAAGGCGGCUCACUGGACCGGAACUGACGCUGAGACGCGAAAGCGUGGGGAGCGAACAGG
rnacentral:rRNA from 1 species